rnacentral:rRNA from 1 species
GCCAGCAGCCAUAUCACCCUGCAACUCACAACUGGCAGCCCACUAAAGCUCAGCAGGUGUGAGCCUGGUCAGUACCUGGAUGGGGGACCUCCUGGGAAAAACUAAGGUUGCUGCUGGAA